UAGGGAAUUUUCCACAAUGGGCGAAAGCCUGAUGGAGCAACGCCGCGUGCAGGAUGAAUGCCUUCGGGUUGUAAACUGCUUUUAUCUGUGACGAAUAUGACGGUAGCAGAUGAAUAAGGAUCGGCUAACUCCGUGCCAGCAGCCGCGGUCAUACGGAGGAUCCGAGCGUUAUCCGGAAUUACUGGGCGUAAAGAGUU
rnacentral:rRNA from 1 species